GACGAACGCUGGCGGCGUGCUUAACACAUGCAAGUCGAACGGAAAGGCCCUGCUUUCGUGGGGUUCUCGAGUGGCGAACGGGUGAGUAACACGUGAGUAUCCUGCCCUUGACUUUGGGAUAACUUCAGGAAACUGGGGCUAAUACCGGAUAGGAGCUCCCGUUGCAUGGUGGGCGUUGGAAAGUUUCGGCGGUUGGGGAUGGACUCGCGGCUUAUCAGCUUGUUGGUGGGGUAGUGGCUUACCAAGGCUUUGACGGGUAGCCGGCCUGAGAGGGUGACCGGCCACAUUGGGACUGAGAUACGGCCCAGACUCCUACGGGAGGCAGCAGUGGGGAAUAUUGCACAAUGGGCGGAAGCCUGAUGCAGCAACGCCGCGUGCGGGAUGACGGCCUUCGGGUUGUAAACCGCUUUCGCCUGUGACGAAGCGUGAGUGACGGUAAUGGGUAAAGAAGCACCGGCUAACUACGUG
rnacentral:rRNA from 1 species